rnacentral:tRNA from 1 species
AAAGUUUUAGUUAAUUUAUAACAUUAAUUUGUCAGAUUAAAAUUGCUAGAAUAGUAAGCUUUU